GGGCAAUGCGCAGCUACCAUGCAGUCGAACGCCCCGCAAGGGGAGUGGCAGACGGGUGAGUAACGCGUGGGAACAUACCCUUUCCUGCGGAAUAGCUCCGGGAAACUGGAAUUAAUACCGCAUACGCCCUACGGGGGAAAGAUUUAUCGGGGAAGGAUUGGCCCGCGUUGGAUUAGCUAGUUGGUGGGGUAAAGGCCUACCAAGGCGACGAUCCAUAGCUGGUCUGAGAGGAUGAUCAGCCACAUUGGGACUGAGACACGGCCCAAACUCCUACGGGAGGCAGCAGUGGGGAAUAUUGGACAAUGGGCGCAAGCCUGAUCCAGCCAUGCCGCGUGAGUGAUGAAGGCCUUAGGGUUGUAAAGCUCUUUCACCGGAGAAGAUAAUGACGGUAUCCGGAGAAGAAGCCCCGGCUAACUUCGUGCCAGCAGCCGCGGUAAUACGAAGGGGGCUAGCGUUGUUCGGAAUUACUGGGCGUAAAGCGCACGUAGGCGGAUAUUUAAGUCAGGGGUGAAAUCCCAGAGCUCAACUCUGGAACUGCCUUUGAUACUGGGUAUCUUGAG
rnacentral:rRNA from 1 species